rnacentral:rRNA from 1 species
GUACCGUGAGGGAAAGAUGAAAAGAACUUUGAAAAGAGAGUUAAACAGUACGUGAAAUUGUUGAAAGGGAAACGAUUGAAGUCAGUCAUACCAACGGGAAAUCAACCUUUUGAGCUCGGUCUCGUGGGUUUUGAAGAGUUUCAAAGCCUUCGGAUUCGCGAGAUUGGGAUCUCUCGGUGUACUUUCUCGUACGGUUAGUCAACAUCGGUUUUGAAUGUCAUAAAAUGACUGGAGGAAUGUAGCUUCGAUCUCGUAUUGAAGUGUUAUAGCCUUUGGUAGAUGUGAUGUUUGAGACCGAGGAUUGCAACGGAUACCCUUCAGGGCUAUUCGUCUGAUCUCUGAUACGUUGCCCUGAUGUUGAAAGCUUGCUUAUGAUGUUAGGGUAUUACGGUCAAAAGGUUAGAACGAAUUACAUUCGUUAAGG